UAGGGAAUCUUCCACAAUGGACGGCAAGUCUGAUGGAGCAACGCCGCGUGAGUGAAGAAGGUCUUCGGAUCGUAAAACUCUGUUGUUAGAGAAGAACACGAGUGAGAGUAACUGUUCAUUCGAUGACGGUAUCUAACCAGCAAGUCACGGCUAACUACGUGCCA
rnacentral:rRNA from 1 species